CGAUGAAGAACGUAGCGAAAUGCGAUACUUGGUGUGAAUUGCAGAAUCCCGUGAACCAUCGAGUCUUUGAACGCAAGUUGCGCCUGAAGCCAUUAGGUUGAAGGCACGUCUGCCUGGGCGUCACGCAUUGCGUCACCCACUCCCCCGUGUCCCAAGUGGGCAC
rnacentral:rRNA from 2 species